AGAGUUUGAUCCUGGCUCAGGAUGAACGCUAGCGGCAGGCUUAAUACAUGCAAGUCGAGGGGCAGCACGGGUAGCAAUACCUGGUGGCGACCGGCAAACGGGUGCGGAACACGUACGCAACCUUCCCAUAACUGGUGAAUAGCCCUCCGAAAGGAGGAUUAAUACACCGUAACAUAAUGAAGUGGCAUCACUUUAUUAUUAUAGGCUUCGGCCGGUUUUGGAUGGGCGUGCGCCUGAUUAGGUAGUUGGCGGGGUAACGGCCCACCAAGCCUGCGAUCAGUAACUGGUGUGAGAGCACGACCAGUCACACGGGCACUGAGACACGGGCCCGACUCCUACGGGAGGCAGCAGUAAGGAAUAUUGGUCAAUGGACGAAAGUCUGAACCAGCCAUGCCGCGUGAAGGAUUAAGGCCCUCUGGGUUGUAAACUUCUUUUAUCUGGGACGAAAAAAGGGUAUUCUUACUCACUUGACGGUACCAGAGGAAUAAGCACCGGCUAACUCCGUGCCAGCAGCCGCGGUAAUACGGAGGGUGCAAGCGUUAUCCGGAUUUACUGGGUUUAAAGGGUGCGUAG
rnacentral:rRNA from 1 species